rnacentral:misc_RNA from 1 species
GAUGAAGAACGCAGCGAAAUGCGAUACGUAAUGUGAAUUGCAGAAUUCAGUGAAUCAUCGAAUCUUUGAACGCACAUUGCGCCUGCCAGCACUCUGGCAGGCAUGCCUGUUCGAGCGUCAUUUCAACCAUCAAGCCCUAGGCUUGCGUUGGAGCCCUGCGGCUGCCGCAGGCCCCCAAAAGCAGUGGCGGGCUCGCUAUCACACCGAGUGCAGUAGAUUACUCUUCGCUCAGGGCGUGUGGCGGGUUCCAGCCGUGAAACCCCCUACUUCUCAAGGUUGACCUCGGAUCAGGUAGGAAUACCCGCUGAACUUAAGAAUAUCAAUAAGCGGAGGA